rnacentral:piRNA from 1 species
UCUUAUGAUGGGGCGAAGGGGUACCUACA